AAUGAACGUUGGCGGCGUGGAUUAGGCAUGCAAGUCGAGCGUGAUAGGUUUGGUGCUUGCAUUAAACCUUGAAAGCGGCGAAAGGGACAGUAACGCGUAGAUACCUACCUCAAGGUCUGGGAUAGCGGCGGGAAACUGCCGGUAAUACCGGAUAAUGUCUUCGGACCAAAGGUGUGAUUCCGCCUGGAGACGGAUCUGCGUCCUAUUAGCUAGUUGGUGGGGUAAUGGCCCACCAAGGCGAUGAUGGGUAGCGGGCGUGAGAGCGUGGCCCGCGUCACUGGGACUGAGACACUGCCCAGACACCUACGGGUGGCUGCAGUCGAGAAUCUUCGGCAAUGGGCGCAAGCCUGACCGAGCGACGCCGCGUGCGGGAUGAAGGCCUUCGGGUUGUAAACCGCUGUCGGAGAGGCGGAAAUCUCUGAGGGUUCUCCCUCAGAGUUGACCUAAUCUCGGAGGAAGUCCGGGCUAAGUUCGUGCCAGCAGCCGCGGUAAAAC
rnacentral:rRNA from 1 species